GGCCACGCUCAUGUGCCUGGCCAACAAGGGCUUCCCCUCAGACUGGAGUCUGGCCUGGAAGGUGGACGGCAGCAGCAGCAGCAGCAGCUGGGAGGAGAGCAGGAGCCCCGGGGUGCUGGAGAAGGACGGCCGCUACAGCUGGAGCAGCACCCUGAGGCUCCCUGCAGACCAGUGGAGGAAGGUGGGCUCUGUGACCUGUGAGGCCACCCAGGGCUCCCAGGCUCUGGUCUCAGAGACACUGAGGAGAGACCAGUGUUCCCAGUCCUGACCUGACUCACUGGGACUCUGCUACUGUUCUCUGAAAUCUGUAACACCCUCUCUCUGUGUCUCUACUUUCCCCUCAGUCACUCUCUAAUUGCGUUUUUAAAUUGCAAGUUUAUUUUCUUGAUGUAAUUUUGAUUAUUUCUACACAAUAAAAAUCAGUUCAUCACAA